UCCAGACUCCUACGGGAGGCAGCAGUGGGGGAUAUUGCACAAUGGGGGGAACCCUGAUGCAGCGACGCCGCGUGGGUGAAGGAGCGUUUCGGCGCGUAAAGCCCUAUCGGCAGGGAAGAAGGAGGACGGUACCUGACUAAGAAGCCCCGGCUAACUACGUGCCAGCAGCCGCGGUAAUACGUAGGGGGCAAGCGUUAUCCGGAUUUACUGGGUGUAAAGGGGGCGCAGACGGCAGCGCAAGCCAGGAGUGAAAGCCCGGGGCCCAACCCCGGGACUGCUCUUGGAACUGCGUGGCUGGAGUGCAGGAGGGGCAGGCGGAAUUCCUGGUGUAGCGGUGAAAUGCGUAGAUAUCAGGAGGAACACCGGUGGCGAAGGCGGCCUGCUGGACUGCAACUGACGUUGAGGCCCGAAAGCGUGGGGAGCAAACAGGAUUAGAUACCCUCGUACA
rnacentral:rRNA from 1 species